AUUGAACGCUGGCGGCGUGCUUUACACAUGCAAGUCGAACGGCAGCACAGACUUCGGUCUGGUGGCGAGUGGCGAACGGGUGAGUAAUACAUCGGAACGUACCUUUUAGUUGGGGAUAACGCAUCGAAAGAUGUGCUAAUACCGAAUAAUCCCUGAGGAGGAAAGGCGGGGAUCGGAAACGACCUGUCGCUGAAAGAGCGGCCGAUGGCCGAUUAGCUAGUUGGCGGGGUAAAGGCCUACCAAGGCGAUGAUCGGUAGCCGUUCUGAGAGGAAGAUCAGCCACACUGGGACUGAGACACGGCCCAGACUCCUACGGGAGGCAGCAGUGGGGAAUUUUGGACAAUGGGGGCAACCCUGAUCCAGCAACGCCGCGUGAAUGAAGAAGGCCUUAGGGUUGUAAAGUUCUUUUGUCGCAGAGCAAAAUGCUUGUACUAAUACUAUGAGUAGAUGAGAGUAUGCGAAGAAUAAGCACCGGCUAACUACGUGCCAGCAGCCGCAGUAA
rnacentral:rRNA from 1 species